rnacentral:lncRNA from 1 species
CAACUGCCCAGCCAACUGAAGACAGUAGUGUUAAUUCAAAAGUUAGAGAUUGAUAUUCAAAUAUUUGACUGCUUUCUGAAUUAGAUAAAGAUCGCCCUCAACCCUCAUGAAGGAAACUUCCUUUGCAGUAGAAAAAGACCACUAUAGAAAAUACCAAGCAACCACAAUGCAGUUAUCAAGCCCAAUCCUACCUGGCAAGGCUCAGGAAAGAUUGCAGAGAAUAAUAAAUGAUUCAAAGAUCAGUGACAUUCAGCCUCCAUUAGAAACAAAUGGCAGUCUUUGAACCAAUAGGACACCAAGAAGAAGGUUCAAGUUUCAACACCAGAAAUGGAGGAGCAAAUAAACAGGAGAGGAGAGGUAGGAAAAGCUGAGAGGGA